GACGAACGCUGGCGGCGUGCCUAACACAUGCAAGUCGAGCGAUGAAACCCUUCGGGGUGGAUUAGCGGCGGACGGGUGAGUAACACGUGGGUAACCUGCCUCAAAGAGGGGGAUAGCCUCCCGAAAGGGAGAUUAAUACCGCAUAAUAUUAGUUUUUCGCAUGGAGAACUAAUUAAAGGAGUAAUCCGCUUUGAGAUGGACCCGCGGCGCAUUAGCUAGUUGGUGAGGUAAAGGCUAACCAAGGCGACGAUGCGUAGCCGACCUGAGAGGGUGAUCGGCCACAUUGGGACUGAGACACGGCCCAGACUCCUACGGGAGGCAGCAGUGGGGAAUAUUGCACAAUGGGGGAAACCCUGAUGCAGCAACGCCGCGUGAGUGAUGACGGUCUUCGGAUUGUAAAACUCUGUCUUUGGGGACGAUAAUGACGGUACCCAAGGAGGAAGCCACGGCUAACUACGUGCCAGCAGCCGCAGUAACAC
rnacentral:rRNA from 1 species